rnacentral:rRNA from 1 species
ACGCCAGACUCCUACGGGAGGCAGCAGUGGGGAAUAUUGGGCAAUGGGGGAAACCCUGACCCAGCGACGCCGCGUGAGGGAAGAAGGUUUUCGGAUUGUAAACCUCUGUCCUUGGUGACGAUAAUGACGGUAGCCAAGGAGGAAGCCACGGCUAACUACGUGCCAGCAGCCGCGGUAAUACGUAGGGGGCAAGCGUUAUCCGGAUUUACUGGGUGUAAAGGGAGCGUAGACGGCAGAGCAAGUCUGAAGUGAAAGCCCGCGGCCCAACUGCGGGACUGCUUUGGAAACUGCCCGGCUAGAGUGCUGGAGAGGUAAGCGGAAUUCCUAGUGUAGCGGUGAAAUGCGUAGAUAUUAGGAGGAACACCAGUGGCGAAAGCGGCUUACUGGACAGUAACUGACGUUGAGGCUCGAAAGCGUGGGGAGCAAACAGGAUUAGAUACCCCCGUAU